UACAGAGGGUGCGAGCGUUAAUCGGAAUUACUGGGCGUAAAGCGUGCGUAGACGGCUAUCUAAGUCGGGUGUGAAAGCCCCGGGCUCAACCUGGGAAUUGCAUUCGAGACUGAAUAGCUAGGGUGCGGUAGAGGGAAGCGGAAUUUCCGGUGUAGCGGUGAAAUGCGUUGAUAUCGGAAGGAACUCCGGCGGCGAAAGCGAUGCACUGGCUGAUUUCUGACGCUGAGGUGCGAAAGCCAGGGGAGCAAACGGG
rnacentral:rRNA from 1 species